ensembl:lncRNA
GUACUCAAGAGCCCCUUUUAAAGACCCAGACCGGGGACGCCUCUGGUUUCAGCAGCUCCCUCCGCUGAGUUAUUGAUUGCAGGCAGCAGCAGUCCCUCAGGUUGAUUUGUGUGGAAAGUGAAUCCUCGCUGGAUAGGCGUUCAGCAGAGGCGCCGCAGCCGCAAAGCCAGCCAAUUAUUGCCGGUCCUCCCCUCCAACCCCGCGCUCACUACCUACACACUCCUUGCUGUGUCAGUCUCCACUUCCCCUCUACCCACGAUCCACCCCCCCUCCCCGCGCGGACGGAGCCGAGGGGGCGGUGGUGGGGGGGCUCCCUCCCCGGGAGCGUUUCUAGAGCUCGGAGGCAGCUCGCAGGGGAGACGUGUCCUGGGUGCAGAUCAGUGGGCAGCCUGGCUCUCGAGGAGGAAAUUUUACCGUUUUUGAAAAGUUUGACAGUCCACAUGUUUAAGUCUAACAGAAGAAAACAAAAAUCACUGGAUAUGAAGUUAUGAGACAGACCCAAGUCUACAUCUACAUCCUCAUGGUUGGUGACCUUGGAUAAAUUUCAUUUUUGUGCUUCUGUUUCAUUUUCUUUAAAAUGAGUAGUUGAAAGCUUCAAAGACUCAAAGAUUUCAUGAACUUAAAAGAAGACUGAUUGAAAGAAAUGCGUGGCCAUUAUUACCUCGCUGCUCAGUUUAUUCAUGGACACAUACUUGUUACAUACAUCUGAAGUUUCCUUAAGGAAAUGAACUCUGUGGAUGUGAUACUUGGCCAUUGGGAGAAGUGGAAUAAAUAAGAAAAAAAAAGGGGGAACAAGUUAGUGACAAAGGAGCCGUGGGCACCACUUUCAGAUAAAAACAUAGACCUGAAUGGCAUCAUCCAGUAUCCAAGGAAACCAUGCACUGUGGUGUAUCCUGAGCAGGACCGAGACAAGGGUGUUUUUCUUAAGAGCCACUGAUUUAGUCAAUUAUCAAAAAUCACAUUAUAAUAAAUGCUGUUCUAAGAAUUUUGAUUAACCUUUAAAUAAAUGUUACUUUGAAAAAAAAAACCCCUGCCAAAUGUGUUAAUAAUAAAUUGUGAAGUGGUA